AUGCGUANNNAUAUNAUGCAAGUCGAGCGAAUGGAUUAAGAGCUUGCUCUUAUGAAGUUAGCGGCGGACGGGUGAGUAACACGUGGGUAACCUGCCCAUAAGNCUGGNAUANCUCCNUAAAACCGGGGCUAAUACCGGAUAACAUUUUGAACCGCAUGGUUCGAAAUUGAAAGGCGGCUUCGGCUGUCACUUAUGGAUGGACCCGCGUCGCAUUAGCUAGUUGGUGAGGUAACGGCUCACCAAGGCAACGAUGCGUAGCCGACCUGAGAGGGUGAUCGGCCACACUGGGACUGAGACACGGCCCAGACUCCUACGGGAGGCAGCAGUAGGGAAUCUUCCGCAAUGGACGAAAGUCUGACGGAGCAACGCCGCGUGAGUGAUGAAGGCUUUCGGGUCGUAAAACUCUGUUGUUAGGGAAGAACAAGUGCUAGUUGAAUAAGCUGGCACCUUGACGGUACCUAACCAGAAAGCCACGGCUAACUACGUGCCAGCAGCCGCGGUAAUACGUAGGUGGCAAGCGUUAUCCGGAAUUAUUGGGCGUAAAGCGCGCGCAGGUGGUUUCUUAAGUCUGAUGUGAAAGCCCACGGCUCAACCGUGGAGGGUCAUUGGAAACUGGGAGACUUGAGUGCAGAAGAGGAAAGUGGAAUUCCAUGUGUAGCGGUGAAAUGCGUANAGAUAUGGAGGAACACCAGUGGCGAAGGCGACUUUCUGGUCUGUAACUGACACUGAGGCGCGAAAGCGUGGGGAGCAAACAGGGAUUAGAUACCCUGGUAGUCCACGCCGUAAACGAUGAGUGCUAAGUGUUANAGGGNUUUCCGCCCUUUUAGUGCUGAAAGUUAACNCAUUAANNCACUCCNCCCUGGGGAGUACNGGCCGCNANGGCUGAAACUCAAAGGAAUUGACCGGGGGCCCCNCCCAAACCGGUGGAGCAUGUGGUUUUAANUUC
rnacentral:rRNA from 1 species